CUAACGAUAUCUAAAAUCAGCCCACUUUUUCAAAAUGUCAAUUCAAAUUUGCUUCUACUUCUUCUUCGUUUUCUUGAAGAAUAACAGCUUCUUCUUCAUUCAUUCUCUUGAAGAACAGGGGUGAUGAAAAGGCGUUCAUCAGUUGCGAAGAGACAAGCAAUGGGAGGCGAAUUCAUCAGAUCGAAUGCUGGAGCGCCCAAGAAACAACCGAAAAUAUAUGAUGUACUUGUGGACUUGGAAUCAACAGAUAAAGAUUGUCAACAUUGAUACAAAUACUUGUGAGCCUCAGAGG